AUACGGAGGGUGCGAGCGUUAAUCGGAAUUACUGGGCGUAAAGCGUACGUAGGCGGUUGGUUAAGUUAGAUGUGAAAGCCCCGGGCUUAACCUGGGAACUGCAUUUAAAACUGGCGAACUAGAGUUGAGUAGAGGGGAGUGGAAUUUCAGGUGUAGCGGUGAAAUGCGUAGAGAUCUGAAGGAACACCAGUGGCGAAGGCGACUACCUGGAAUCGAACUGACGCUGAGGUACGAAAGCGUGGGUAGCAAACGGGAUUAGAAACCCUAGUAGUCC
rnacentral:rRNA from 1 species